CUAUGGUCAAGUCUAGGAAAGAUAGAUGCUUCGAACCAUCUCUCUCCAACUUUCAUUUCGUUUUAGUAAGAAAAAAAUAAUAAAAAGAAGAGAAGGAAAAAAAAAAAAAGGAAGAAAAUUGUAGAGAGAACUUAUGCCAGGGAGGCGAGAUGGAAAAAAAAAUGGACGGUCCAGAAUCGUGCAGAGACCCACGGGGGACUUCUCCGGAGAAAACGCC
rnacentral:lncRNA from 1 species